rnacentral:sRNA from 1 species
GCAAUAAUAAACUGAACUUAUUCAAGGGUGGUCGGCACACUCCCAGUAGAAAGGGGGUGGUGCUGUAUGACAGUGUUUGAAGCGUUAAUGUUUGCUUUAGCAUUCGCAAGCUUAAUCGUAGUCAUUCUGUCAUUUAACCAAAAAAAAUAAUCCACCCUUGAGUUGACGCUCGGUGGAUUAUUUACCCAAAUAAUUCUGCUGACCGCCCAAAUAAGGGAAGCUAUUUAUUGCUAGACUGUUGGUGUUAGCGCACCAGCA